GACGAACGCUGGCGGCGCGCCUAACACAUGCAAGUCGAACGGUGAAGAGGAGCUUGCUCCUCGGAACAGUGGCGGACGGGUGAGUAACACGUGAGCAACCUGGCUCUAAGAGGGGGACAACAGUUGGAAACGACUGCUAAUACCGCAUGACGUAUCGGGAUGGCAUCUUCCUGAUACCAAAGAUUUUAUCGCUUAGAGAUGGGCUCGCGUCUGAUUAGAUGGUUGGCGGGGUAACGGCCCACCAAGUCGACGAUCAGUAGCCGGACUGAGAGGUUGAACGGCCACAUUGGGACUGAGACACGGCCCAGACUCCUACGGGAGGCAGCAGUGGGGGAUAUUGGACAAUGGGGGCAACCCUGAUCCAGCGACGCCGCGUGAGGGAAGAAGGUUUUCGGAUUGUAAACCUCUGUUGACGGAGAAAAAAAUGAUGGUAUCCGUUUAGAAAGCCACGGCUAACUACGUG
rnacentral:rRNA from 1 species